UGAAUUCUAUUUUAAUUGUGAAUAUACAGCUGUUGACUGUGAGGUUAAUAUUCAG
rnacentral:tRNA from 1 species